rnacentral:rRNA from 2 species
UUAAGCGACUAAGCGUACACGGUGGAUGCCCUGGCAGUCAGAGGCGAUGAAGGGCGUGCUAAUCUGCGAUAAGCGCCGGUAAGGUGAUAUGAACCGUUAUAACCGGCGAUACCCGAAUGGGGAAACCCAGUGUGAUUCGUCACACUAUCAUUAACUGAAUCCAUAGGUUAAUGAGGCGAACCGGGGGAACUGAAACAUCUAAGUACCCCGAGGAAAAGAAAUCAACCGAGAUUCCCCCAGUAGCGGCGAGCGAACGGGGAGGAGCCCAGAGCCUGAAUCAGCAUGUGUGUUAGUGGAAGCGUCUGGAAAGGCGCGCGAUACAGGGUGACAGCCCCGUACACAAAAGCGCAUGUGCUGUGAGCUCGAUGAGUAGGGCGGGACACGUGGUAUCCUGUCUGAAUAUGGGGGGACCAUCCUCCAAGGCUAAAUACUCCUGACUGACCGAUAGUGAACCAGUACCGUGAGGGAAAGGCGAAAAGAACCCCGGCGAGGGGAGUGAAAAAGAACCUGAAACCGUGUACGUACAAGCAGUGGGAGCACAGGUUUACCUGUGUGACUGCGUACCUUUUGUAUAAUGGGUCAGCGACUUAUAUUCUGUAGCAAGGUUAACCGAAUAGGGGAGCCGGAGGGAAACCGAGUCUUAAUUGGGCGUUAAGUUGCAGGGUAUAGACCCGAAACCCGGUGAUCUAGCCAUGGGCAGGUUGAAGGUUGGGUAACACUAACUGGAGGACCGAACCGACUAAUGUUGAAAAAUUAGCGGAUGACCUGUGGCUGGGGGUGAAAGGCCAAUCAAACCGGGAGAUAGCUGGUUCUCCCCGAAAGCUAUUUAGGUAGCGCCUCGUGAAUUCAUCUCCGGGGGUAGAGCACUGUUUCGGCUAGGGGGCCAUCCCGGCUUACCAACCCGAUGCAAACUGCGAAUACCGGAGAAUGUUAUCACGGGAGACACACGGCGGGUGCUAACGUCCGUCGUGAAGAGGGAAACAACCCAGACCGCCAGCUAAGGUCCCAAAGUCAUGGUUAAGUGGGAAACGAUGUGGGAAGGCCCAGACAGCCAGGAUGUUGGCUUAGAAGCAGCCAUCAUUUAAAGAAAGCGUAAUAGCUCACUGGUCGAGUCGGCCUGCGCGGAAGAUGUAACGGGGCUAAACCAUGCACCGAAGCUGCGGCAGCGACGCUUAUGCGUUGUUGGGUAGGGGAGCGUUCUGUAAGCCUGUGAAGGUGGCCUGUGAGGGUUGCUGGAGGUAUCAGAAGUGCGAAUGCUGACAUAAGUAACGAUAAAGCGGGUGAAAAGCCCGCUCGCCGGAAGACCAAGGGUUCCUGUCCAACGUUAAUCGGGGCAGGGUGAGUCGACCCCUAAGGCGAGGCCGAAAGGCGUAGUCGAUGGGAAACGGGUUAAUAUUCCCGUACUUGGUGUUACUGCGAAGGGGGGACGGAGAAGGCUAUGUUGGCCGGGCGACGGUUGUCCCGGUUUAAGCGUGUAGGUGUGUGUUCCAGGUAAAUCCGGUUCACUUUAACACUGAGGCGUGAUGACGAGGCACUACGGUGCUGAAGUAACAAAUGCCCUGCUUCCAGGAAAAGCCUCUAAGCAUCAGGUAACAUCAAAUCGUACCCCAAACCGACACAGGUGGUCAGGUAGAGAAUACCAAGGCGCUUGAGAGAACUCGGGUGAAGGAACUAGGCAAAAUGGUGCCGUAACUUCGGGAGAAGGCACGCUGACACGUAGGUGAAGUGAUUUACUCAUGGAGCUGAAGUCAGUCGAAGAUACCAGCUGGCUGCAACUGUUUAUUAAAAACACAGCACUGUGCAAACACGAAAGUGGACGUAUACGGUGUGACGCCUGCCCGGUGCCGGAAGGUUAAUUGAUGGGGUCAGCGCAAGCGAAGCUCCUGAUCGAAGCCCCGGUAAACGGCGGCCGUAACUAUAACGGUCCUAAGGUAGCGAAAUUCCUUGUCGGGUAAGUUCCGACCUGCACGAAUGGCGUAAUGAUGGCCAGGCUGUCUCCACCCGAGACUCAGUGAAAUUGAACUCGCUGUGAAGAUGCAGUGUACCCGCGGCAAGACGGAAAGACCCCGUGAACCUUUACUAUAGCUUGACACUGAACAUUGAGCCUUGAUGUGUAGGAUAGGUGGGAGGCUUUGAAGUGUGGACGCCAGUCUGCAUGGAGCCGACCUUGAAAUACCACCCUUUAAUGUUUGAUGUUCUAACGUGGACCCGUUACCCGGGUUGCGGACAGUGUCUGGUGGGUAGUUUGACUGGGGCGGUCUCCUCCUAAAGAGUAACGGAGGAGCACGAAGGUUGGCUAAUCCUGGUCGGACAUCAGGAGGUUAGUGCAAUGGCAUAAGCCAGCUUGACUGCGAGCGUGACGGCGCGAGCAGGUGCGAAAGCAGGUCAUAGUGAUCCGGUGGUUCUGAAUGGAAGGGCCAUCGCUCAACGGAUAAAAGGUACUCCGGGGAUAACAGGCUGAUACCGCCCAAGAGUUCAUAUCGACGGCGGUGUUUGGCACCUCGAUGUCGGCUCAUCACAUCCUGGGGCUGAAGUAGGUCCCAAGGGUAUGGCUGUUCGCCAUUUAAAGUGGUACGCGAGCUGGGUUUAGAACGUCGUGAGACAGUUCGGUCCCUAUCUGCCGUGGGCGCUGGAGAACUGAGGGGGGCUGCUCCUAGUACGAGAGGACCGGAGUGGACGCAUCACUGGUGUUCGGGUUGUCAUGCCAAUGGCACUGCCCGGUAGCUAAAUGCGGAAGAGAUAAGUGCUGAAAGCAUCUAAGCACGAAACUUGCCCCGAGAUGAGUUCUCCCUGAGACUUAAAGUCUCCUGAAGGAACGUUGAAGACGACGACGUUGAUAGGCCGGGUGUGUAAGCGCAGCGAUGCGUUGAGCUAACCGGUACUAAUGAACCGUGAGGCUUAACCCU